rnacentral:tRNA from 1 species
GAAGGUAUACCUGAAUGGUAAAGCACAUGCUUAGCCUGCAUGAGAUCCUGGGUUCAAUCCCAAGUACCUCCA